rnacentral:sRNA from 1 species
UUCAAAUGAUGACUGUCCUUUGCAUUUGCAUUUGCAGUAUCAGUCCAAACAUUCGAGAAGGGUUGCUGGAAACAUUCUAUGGAGUUUAUGAA